CCUACGGGCGGCUGCAGUGGGGAAUAUUGGACAAUGGGGGGAACCCUGAUCCAGCCAUGCCGCGUGUGUGAAGAAGGCCCUCGGGUUGUAAAGCACUUUCAGUGAGGAAGAACGCCUGGUGGUUAAUACCCAUCAGGAAAGACAUCACUCACAGAAGAAGCACCGGCUAACUCCGUGCCAGCAGCCGCGGUAAUACGGAGGGUGCGAGUGUUAAUCGGAAUUACUGGGCGUAAAGCGCGCGUAGGUGGCUUGAUAAGCCGGUUGUGAAAGCCCCGGGCUCAACCUGGGAACGGCAUCCGGAACUGUCAAGCUAGAGUGCAGGAGAGGAAGGUAGAAUUCCCGGUGUAGCGGUGAAAUGCGUAGAGAUCGGGAGGAAUACCAGUGGCGAAGGCGGCCUUCUGGACUGACACUGACACUGAGGUGCGAAAGCGUGGGUAGCAAACAGGAUUAGAUACCCCUGUAGUC
rnacentral:rRNA from 1 species